UUUUAACCACCGGAUAUUCCAACAGUGUACACGGUAACAACUACGCCAUUAUUUUUAAACAACUUAUAUUUGUCGUUUUCUUCCUCCAAUCGCUUUCCAUUAUGGGGCCCACACAUGGCUGCGCCGUCGUACGAAUAUUCUCCGACAGUACGAAUAUUCCACGACCAAACGAAUAUUCCCCGACAAUAAUGAAUAUUUUAUAACCAUUU
rnacentral:lncRNA from 1 species